rnacentral:rRNA from 1 species
UAGGGAAUCUUCGGCAAUGGGGGAAACCCUGAUGCAGCGACGCCGCGUGAUUUAGAAGGCCUUCGGGUUGUAAAAAUCUUUUCUAUGGGAAGAAAAUGACCGUACCAUAGGAAUAAGGACCGGCUAAUUACGUGCCAGCAGCCGCGGUAAUACGUAAGGUCCGAGCGUUGUCCGGAAUCAUUGGGCGUAAAGGGUACGUAGGCGGGUAAGCAAGUUAGGAGUGAAAUCCUGUAGCUCAACUACAGUAAGCUUUUAAAGCUGCUCAUCUUGAGAUAUGGGAGGGAAAGUGGAAUUCCUAGUGUAGCGGUGAAAUGCACAGAUAUUAGGAGGAAUACCGGUGGCGAAGGCGACUUUCUGGCCAUAUUCUGACGCUGAGGUACGAAAGCGUGGGUAGCAAACAGG